CCAUGGGCGCCUCCACCGGUGGUGGCGCGUCCAUGGUGGACGCCUACCUAUAUUUUUUUAAAAAAAAUUUAGAAUAGGAAUAAAACAGAGGAGAAGAUUGUGUGGUGCUGUGUCGGUGGUGCUGGUGAUGCCAUUGCGCUGAUGAGUGCUCUUGUUAUGCCGCACAACCUCUUUCUCCAUUCAAGUUUUGUGGCGACGGAGGUGCGGCGGUGGUGGUGCGGCGGUGGAGGUGCGGCAGCAGUUGUGAGCUUUGUCAACUUGUUUGUUUUUUUUUUUUUCCUUUUUUUUUAAAAAAAAAACAUUAUAAGAGGUGGUAGUGUUGGUGGUGGUGGAGGGGCAUGAAGGUGAUGGUGUGGAAGGAGGGGAAGUGAGGAAAGAGAAAAUGAUAAAAAGAAAUGAAAAAUACAAAAAUACAGUAUUUUAUACAAAUACAGGGCGUUACCAGGAAAUUUUAGGGCGUGAUUUAGCAAAUGAGUUAAUAAAGUGGAUUGUUUUGGAUAUUUUUGUACAAAUUGUGUUUGGAUUAGUGUAGGUAAUGGUUUCCAAGAAAGCUCAACUUUUAAUGUGGAUUUCUUUAGUUUUUGGCAAUUAACAAUUCAUCAUGUGCCAUUUGGGUUAA